rnacentral:rRNA from 1 species
AUUGAACGCUGGCGGCAUGCCUUACACAUGCAAGUCGAACGGCAGCACGGGUGCUUGCACCUGGAGGCGAGUGGCGAACGGGUGAGUAAUACAUCGGAACAUGUCCUGUAGCGGGGGAUAGCCCGGCGAAAGCUGGAUUAAUACCGCAUACGAUCUACGGAUGAAAGCGGGGGAUCUUCGGGCCUUGCGCUACAGGGUUGGCCGCUGGCUGAUUAGCUAGUUGGUGGGGUAAUGGCCUACCAAGGCGACGAUCAGUAGCCGGUCUGAGAGGACGACCAGCCACACUGGGACUGAGACACGGCCCAGACUCCUACGGGAGGCAGCAGUUGGGAAUUUAGGACAAUGGGCGGAAGCCUGCUCCAGCAAUGCCGGGUGUGUGCAGAAGGCCUUCGGGUUGUAAAGCACUUUUGUCCGGAAAGAAAUCCUUGGCCCUAAUACGGUCGGGGGAUGACGGUACCGGAAGAAUAAGCACCGGCUAACUACGUG